rnacentral:lncRNA from 1 species
UUUUGUUUGUUGAUUGGUGGAGCGUGCGUAAGUAAAGGAGGAGAGCGAGACAAUUAGCGCCAGAAGUGAAGAAGUAAUAAGUCGGGAUUCCAAGGUUGGUCGCAACAGAGAGGGCACAAGUGCAAAAGAAGUCGAUGAUGAAUGCAGAGAUUCCAGCUGUCAAGGAGAUGGAGUGCAGAGCUUGGUGAACAUGAGGGUUGCUGAGUCGAAGGAGCUCGAAGUGGAGAGCUUCUAUGGAGGGGUAAGAGUCAGGGUCAAGAGGCGGAGAGGGCAGGUGGUGGAAAGUGAUGGAAGGGGUGGUGGCAGAAAUGCGAUUCAUGUAAGCAGCAGUGGAGGCUGCAGUGUUGUAUGGCGGGUUCACCACGAGAAUAGUAACAGCCAAUCCAGGGUGGUGGUUGAGAGUGAACUUACCCAGCUCCACCAUGGAAACCAGGUGACCCAUGCCUGGAGAUGGAUACAGAACUAUAGUACGAUUACUCGCCAUCUCUCUAUCUCUAUUUGUUCGUACACCCAAUUUCCACAAUGCUACGCGACUCUUUGAGCCAAUUGAGAGCCUCAAAAUUCCAAGUUCCAAAUAAAUAGAGAGUAACUUCCUUCAACUUUCCAUAGCCAAUAAAUGCAAUCAACUGACUAUGCUUUGUCAAGUUACCGUAGGCAAAAUCAAGGGAUAAUUUCAGAAACCUCCCCUGAGGUUUAUGACAAUUUCACAUAGCUCUAUUAAGGUUUGAAAAAUUACACAUAUCUCUCUUGUUAUUUAAAAUGACAAUACUACCCUUAAAUUUCCUUGUUUGAUAUGCUUAUACUUAGAAUGAAUUUAAACUUAUUUUUCAUUCUUUUUCCUUUUUAUUUUAUUUUUUUGCCAAUAAAAUUAUAAAAUUACUACUAUUAUCUCUAGUUUCUAUUGUGAUCAAAUGUCGAACUAAUGAUUUUUUUUAUGAGUUAACUUUAUAUAUAAUCCAAUGUUUUUUGCUAAUCUUUGUUUUUUAUUUUUUGGUAUUAAAAUUAACAAUAAAUCAAAAAAAAUUGUCCAAAAUCACUACUAAAUUAUGAUAAUUCUACUACUCAAAAAAUUCAUAAACUCUGAAUCAAUUAUUUUAAUAUUUUAUUUUCUAUAUUAUAAUAUAAAUUCAUAAUAAAAUACCAUCAAAAGUAUUCUAUCAUAGUGAUAAAUUAUUAUUAUAAUUGUUUAUUAAAUAGUAGGUAUGGACAUGAAAAAUUUGGCACCUUUUCCUUAUAAUUACAUUAGAUAAUCUUAUAAUUCUAUAGAGAAGUAAUUUAAAACUUAUUACACAAGUGCAUUUUUGGGUAUUCAUUUAAAAAUUUGAUUAAAUCAAUAUUAUUUUAUGAUUUUGUUACUAACACUAUUAAAUCAAGGGAGGUAUGUACAGUUUUUUAAAUUUCGAAGGAGCUCAGUGAAAUUGUCAGAAACCUCAGUGAAAUUUUUUAUAAAUAAGGUUCAUCAAAAUUACAUUUCAUCCUUAGUUUUAUAUUCAUUAAACUUUUAACCUUCUUUUAUUAAUAAAUUGAUUCAUUUUUUAUAAAAUAAAAUAAAGCUUUAGCUGAUUAAAUGAGUAUUUCUUUGGAUUUGUAAGUACACUCAACAAAUUAAUAAAUUAAUAAUUUAUUGAUUAAUUAAUAAUACUUUUUAAAUUAAUAGAAUUUGCAAGGUCCCAAAAUUAUUAAUUUAUACAGAUUUUACUGUAGUAGUUAAAAGAUACUAUCCGACUCGUUAUGAACUCUUGGGCGUCUGUCGUGAGCAAGUUUGUUUUUAUAGGUCGAAAGAGGUAUACCGAUUGGCUAUAAAAUGUAGUAAAUGGUAUAAAUUAAGUUGGUAUCAUGCAUAGAAAAAUGGUAGCUUAUGCAUAUAGAGUCAAUCAAGUAGCAAAUUGGAGACUAGAAAGCGAGGCGCAACAAAAUGGACUAUGUAGCUUCUGUUUUUGGUUUGCUUUAAUUAACUUUAAAUUGCAUACGGAGAAUGAAGGCUGAAAACGUUGUUGAAGGGUUUUAAAGGUUUGCCACUAUAAGAGUUUGGGAGAAACAAGCGAGAUUCAGUUUGCUCAAAAAAAAAAAAAAAAAAAAGGAGGCUGGACACGGCGACCACUUUUAGAAAAGAGAAAAUUCCCUUAUUUAUAAAUUGGUCCAGAACCUUAAAAUAAAUAACAAGCCCGUCAUGUCCAUUGGACACGGUUAUCACUUUAAAAAAAAUAUUCUUCAUUUAUAAAUUGGUCCAUUGACCUUAAAAUAAAUAAAAGCAAAUUAUUUGGAUAGUCACUAAACUUUUUAAAUAAUAGUUGAGUUUUAGUCACUUAACUAUUAAUAGUAUAUUUUUACACACUAAACUAUUAAAAAUAUAAAUUUUGAAUCAUUCUAUCUGAUUCCACCAUUAAUUUUGACAAAUCCAAAUAUUAAUAGUAUAUCUAAUAAGUUAUGUGAAUUUUUAGAUCGGACAGAAUUAACAGUUGAAUCAAAUGAAACAGCACAACAUUUACACACUUAAUAUUUCAAUGGGUAAAAAUAUAUUAUUAAUUGUUAAGUGAUCAAAUCUUGACUAUUUAAAAAUCUAGUAGUUACCCUGGUAAUUUGCUCAAAUAAAUAUCUUCCCAAGGAAAUAGGUGGAAAGGUUUCACAAGAAAGUAGAAGAGAUGUCAACAACAGCAAAAUAUCAGGCAGCUUAUGGAAGCAGUUAAUUCCUUUAAAUACUCACUAAACUAGGUACUAGAGAGACAUUCCUUCAGCAUUCCAUCAUUCUCUGGUUUUAACUACAUUAAGGUGGCGUUUGGAAAAUAGGGUUUCGGAAUGGAGAAUUGGAAUAAACCCCAUGAUUUAUGUUUGGUUCACUACUAUCGGAAUUGAAAUUUUGGAAUGAUAGUUAAAAUUUAGCAUUUCACCAUUCUUUAGUAAGUUGGUGGGUUUUGUCCAAAACUCAAGUGUGAUUCUAAAAUCUUAUAAUUGCAUAAUAUUUAGUAUAAUUAAUAUUUAUAUAAAUUAUAUAUAUUAUAUAUUUAUAUUUAUAUUAUAAUAUAUACAUAUAUAUAUGAUAUAUUAUAAUUAUAAUAUUUUAUUAUAAUAUUAGUAUAUUAUAUAAAUAUAUAUUAUAAUUAUAAUAUAUACAUAUAUAUGAUAUAUUAUAAUUAUAAUAUUUUAUUAUAAUAUUAGUAUAUUAUAUAAAUAUAUAUUAUAAUUAUUUAGUUAAAUAUAAUUAUAUUUAUAUAAUAUAUAUUAUACAUUUAUUAAUAUUAUAUAAUAAUAUAUUUAUAAUAUAUACGUAUAUUUAUAAAUGUAUAUUGUAUGUGCAUAUAAUUAUAAUAUAUACAUGUAUAUAAUAUUAAUAAAUUAUAUAAUAAUAAUUAUAUUAUUUUAAAUAUAUUAAUAUAUAAUAAUAACUAUAUUUAAUAUUAAUGUGCAUUAUAUUUAUAUAAAAUAUUAGUACAAUUAAUAUUUAUAUAUUAUAUAAUUAUAAUUAUAUAUUUAUAUUAUAACAUUUGUAUAAUUAUAAUUAAUUAUAUAAUAUUUAAUUUAAUUAGUUACAAACUUAUAAUAAUGAUAUUAUUAUAUUAUUAUAUUAUAUAUUAUAUAUUAUAAUUAUUUAGUUAAAUAUAAUUAUAUUUAUAUAAUAUAUAUUAUAAAUUUAUUAAUAUUAUAUAAUAAUAUAUUUAUAAUAUAUAUGUAUAGUUAUAAAUGUAUAUUAUAUGUGCAUAUAAUUAUAAUAUAUACAUGUAUAUAAUAUUAAUAAGUUAUAUAAUUAUUAUUAUUAUUAUUUUAAAUAUAAUAAUAUAUAAUAAUAACUAUAUUUAAUAUGUAAUAUAUAUUAUAUUUUUAUAUAAAAUAUCAGUAUAAUUAAUAUUUUUAUAUAUUAUAUAAUUAUAAUUAUAUAUUUAUAUUAUAACAUUUGUAUAAUUAACAUAUGUAUUAUAUAAUGUAUAUUAAUUUAUGUAAUAAAAUUUAUAUUAUCAAUUAUACUAAUAAUUAUACAUGUUUACUAAUAGAAAUUAUUAAUUAGUUAUACUAAAUUUACUAAUAUUUUUAUACUAAUAUAUUUAAUUAGUGAAAAUUUCUUAUAUCCCAUUUACAAAGAACCAAUGACUAUCAUUUACGAUGUGAUUUAUAAUAUAUUUAUUAUAUUCCAUUCCGAAAGAGCCAACGAACCAAACAUCAACUAUAGUAAUGAUACACAUUCCAGGUACUUGAACCAAACAGAUGUAUUGGAAUGAAUGACUUUAUUCCAAACCCAGGAUAUCCGAUUCCAAAUUCGAAUCCGACUCCGAUGUGCGAACCAAACGCCACCUAAAACCUUUGUACGUGUCUUUCCAAAAACUAUAAAAGACCUAUUUGAGUCAAACAAACCACAAAAGUGAAGUUUGAACUUUGAAGAAAGAGCAGCAGAUUUACGAGACAAAAGUGAAGUUUGAAGAAAAAGCAGCAGAUCUAAAAAGUUAACAAAACAAAAUUUAAACUCGUUGCAUCACGAGACGCACACAGACCUACAGAUUUGCUGCCAAAGAAUUAAACAAUAAUCGGUACAAGUCACAAAAGAAUUGACAAUGCAUAUAUAUCAGCCAAUUAAUGAUACUAUGUUAAGUACUGAAUGACACCCUGCGACUUACCUAAUUGGAUUUCCUGGUGAAUACAGUCGAUUCUUGACAACAUACUCGACAUACAAGUUGUAUAUGUGCUCGGGGGAUUCCCUUCAAUCACCUGUCCUAGGAUGAGUUACCAGGAUGACCUGUAAAACCAAUAAAUACAUGGGGAAGAAGAGAUUUUUCAUGUUCACAAGAGAGAGUUUUUCAACUUGUCAUGGAAAAAAGCUAUGCUAACUGCCAGCAAGUGAUAGUCAGACAACAGAUAAAUGUCUUGAUACUCUUGCUACAUAGCCAUCUAUAUGAAUGCAAGCAUAUAUACUCAUGCAAUCAUCUGGACAGACCUUAAUCCCAGAUGGAAAGUUAGUAGGUAUUAGUGCGGAAGCUGUGAAACGAACAUCCCUGUCCAGGUAAUUGUGGGACUCCAAGAUUUCCUUUGUCAACGCUGCCAAAGAGAUCAAACAAUAAUGUAAGAAAGUAACUCUUAUUAGUAUGUCUUCAAAGAUAUGAUUAAGAAACAUUUUUAUACCAGGACAAUAAUGAGAUGCAAAACUAGUCUUCAGGAUUACUUUCAAUUCGACCAAAAAAUGGCCAAUCCUUUCUGGUAAAAAUUCUCACAUCAGACCAUCAAGCUGCUACUAUGGGUGGUCAUUUAAGGUGCACAUGUAUUGACUCAUGAACUUCUUUAUAUACAUCAACAAAACUUCUUUAUAUACAUCAACAAAUGCGCAUGUGUUUACCACCACUAUGCUCAUCAAUCACUCUUGUUUUUUACACGAUUACAAAAGAAUGCCCAAACUUUAGUAAUGCCUAUCAAAGUACUUGUGAUCAUGAGGCAGAUUAUUAUCUUUCUCCUUGGGCAUGAACCUCGUAUUAAACUGCCUUGACAAUGGCCUGACAGUCUGGUUGGAGAAAUGGAUCAUCUUUUUCGGAAUUAAAAAGCUAGAAAAGAAAAAUUGUAAUGCUAAUGCACGUUAUGGAGGCCAAGUUGAUUAUCAGACAACUUGGGGGGGGGGGGGAAUUGGGAUUAACCAAUACGUAAGUUGAAUCAAGCGUCAAGUGCAAUAACAAAAGAAAAAGGUCGUGUAAUUAUUAGAAACGAAAAAAUAUAUACUUGUGGAGUUGAGCAACAGGGGGAUGGGAGGAACGAGGAUGAGCAGCGACAGCUAGGGACCGGGAAGGGUAGUGGACAAUGGCUUGGCUUGGCUUGGCUUGCUGGCUGGCUGGCUGGUUAGAGAGGAGCGGAGGGGAUCGGGCUAUUAGGCUACUGGCAGUAAAUUUUACUACUGCUAAACAUUUUUUAUGUUUUGCUUUUCAAGUUUGGGAUAAAUUUGGGAAUCAUGGUUCCUGAAAACCUACCAAUCAUCAUUCCUCCCUUUGCUGUUUUUUCUUUUGAUGGAGAGCUGAAAACCUCCCAAUCUAUGCGGGUACAGCCUACAGAGUUUUGAUGAAUCUUUCCAAAAAUCUCAUACCCACGUGGCCAUACCCUGUUGCCAAAACUUAGGGCCUGUUUGGAACUUGAAUUUUUUGGAAGUUUGUCUAAAACUUUACUGUAGUGCACUGUAGAAGUUUUUGUAAGGUGAAAAACUUUUUUGUAGAAGUUUUUGAAAUGUUACUGUAGACGUUUUUUGAAUUAUUUUUAGAGGUAUUUUUAAAACAUAUUUUUGAGUAUUUUAUAAUUUUUAUAUUCUUAAACAUUUAUGCAUUUAUAAUACAUUUAUAAUAUUUAGAAAUAAAUAUAUUUAUAUAAAAAUAUAUAAAUGUAUUAUAUUAUAUAUAAUAGGUAAUAUACAUAUAUUUAUAAAUGUAUAAAUAUAUAAUUAAUAUAAAUGUAUAAAUUAUAAAUGAAUAUUAUAUAAAUGUAUAAAUUAUAAUUUAUAAUUUAUAUAAUAUUCAUUUAUAAUUUAUACAUUAUAUUAAUUAUGAUAUAUGUAUAAAUGUAUAAUUAAUAUUGUUUAUAAUUUAUAAUUUUUAUUGUUUAAAUAUUUAUAUGCAUUUAUGCAUUUAUAAUACAUUUAUAAAUAUUUAUAAAUAAAUAUAUUUAUAUAUUUAUAUAAAAAUAUAUAAAUGUAUUAUAUUAUAUAUAAUACAUAAUAUACAUAUAUUUAUAAAUGUAUAAUUAAUAUAAAUGUAUAUAUUAUAAAUGAAUAUUAUAUAAAUGUAUAAAUUAUAAUUUAUAAAUAUAUAUGAUGAUUAUAUAUAACUGUAUUAAUAUAAUUAAUAUAAAUGUAUAAAUGUAUUAAUAUUAUGUAUAAAUGUAUAAUGAAUAUUGUUUAUAAUUUAUAAUUUUUAUUGUUUAAAUAUUUAUAUAUAUUUAUGCAUUUAUAAUACAUUUAUAAAUAAAUAUAUUUAUAUAGUUAUAUAAAAAUAUAUAAAUGUAUUAUAUUAUAUAUAAUACAUAGUAUAAAUAUAUUUACAAAUGUAAUAAUUGUAUAUUAUUAUAAAUGAAUAUUAUAUAAAUAUAUAAAUUAAUAUAUUAUAAAUAUAUAAUAUUAUGUAUAAAUGUAUUAAUAUAAUUAAUAUAAAUGUAUAAAUGUAUUAGUAUUAUGUAUAAAUGUAUAAUUAAUAUUGUGUGUUAAUAUUAUGUAUAAAUGUAUUAUGUUAUACAUAAUACAUAAUAUAAUUGUAUAUAAAUAUACAUAAAUAUAUAUACAUAAAUGUGUAAUAUAUAUAAUAUGUAUUAUAUAUAUUAAAUAUAUAAUAUAUAAUAUUUAUAUAAAUGUAUAAUUACAUAUUUAUGUUAAUAUUAAUUUAUAUGGUAUAUAAUAUUUAUAUAAAUAUAUAAAAAUAUAUUUUAAAUAAAAUAAAAUAUUUAUAAUAUGUUUAAAUAAAAUGAAAUAUUUAUAAUAUGUUUAAAUAAAUAUAUAAAUAUAUAAUAUAUAUAAUAAAUUUUUGAGGGUGAGGGACUCAAAAAUUCAAAAAAAAAUUUUGAGGUUACCGGCAGCGCCGGAAUAGGUGAUCGGCGCUGGGAGAGGUGGUGGAGGUGAUGUCUGGUGUGGUGGGUUGGGUGAGGGAGGAAAAAAAGUUUUUGAGAAAUUUUUUGUGUAUAGAUUUUUGAAGUGUGUAGGUAAAAAACUUUGAAAAGUUUUUUAAGAUUCCUGUAGCAAAAGUUGUUAAAAAACUAGUAGCUAAAAAACUUGGUAAAAAACUAGGAUGCCAAAUAGGCCCUUAAUUUCCAUGCCUUUUGCUUGACUAGUGGUUAAUUGAUUCAAAUCUCAACCCCUCUAUAUUUUGUUUUCCUGGAGUCCUCAACAACAACAACAACAACAACUGCUACUACUACUACUAGUUUUAUUCACAAUCACUAAUGUUUAAGGCACACUUGUUGCCUGCACAACUAACAAAAAAAUUAUAUAAAAUUUUUUAAAUAUUUGUUAAAGUCAUUCUUAUGAGGCAAUUUUAUAUUUUUUGUAAUACCUACGGUGAAAAAUUCACGAAAAUAAACUAUGCGAAAUGUAAAUAGAUAGUUGUUUGAUAGUGGGUAGUAAUCAAAAAAAGAGAAAGAGGGAGCUAGUGGAUAGUUAGUUAUAAAAAGUACUAAUUUAGAAAUAUCACAAAGUGACAGAUUUUAGUUUACACAAAAAAAAACCUCCUCUUUUUUGUAUAUGGUACAUAGAUAAUUAUUACUGUUUUUAUAAACACUCUAACUUACCAAUAUGUUCAAAUGCCAUAGUUAUAAAACUUGACCUGCCUCAACAGUUAAACUGGUCAACUCGGUGAACGGAUCAUAGGAUCGAUUUGGAUUGUUAAUCAAACCUAUUGACCCGUCAAUGAUCCGACGUUUCAAUUGGUCAAUCGAAAAAAAAAAUCGUCAAUUAAGUUGCCGACUAACCACCAAUACAAAAAUUAUGUUGUAUUUAUAAUUUAAAAUAUAUUAUAAUAUUACAUAAUAUAACUAUUAUGCAACCCAGAGCUCGACCACCUUUCGGAUUGAGCUCUUAACGGGGUUUAAUAACUAUGGUCCUAAGUCAAUCUAUUUGAAAAUGCUAUAGUAAUUGAGCAUUCUUUUUCCUUCUAUUUUUUGAAACUUACAAAAAGAAAAAUGGAAGUAUCAUCGCUCAAUUUAUAUUUGCAAGGUAAAGUCAAGGUCAUGACAGCAGGGAACAUUCAUUCGGACUGGACCAAAAUAUCUGUUUUCAUCUUCUUUUAGCGUCCAUUUAGUAACAACGUGGAGAAGAAUUUGCGUCGGGAAUGUGAAGAACUCGGAAUCAAAGCUAUGCAUGUUUGUGGUCCAUAGCAAAAGAUAUCACAUAAUGGAAUAAACGUUGACACAUGCCCGACCACCUAAGAAAAGCCCAUUCUCUAAAUUUGGCCCAUUUUUUGCAAAUGCGUGACUGUGAUUUUUCCAGCCCAAAAACAAUCGCUCGUCAUGUAUCGAAACUAGAAGAGCCUUCUUCAACUUUGCGGCAUUCAUGAUCCAACUACGGUGACUUGUACCUUGAUGAAUGAACUGCGUUGCGUUAUUUAUUUAUUUAUUUAUCAUUCAUGUCAAACUUUUCUGUUUACUUUCUCAUUUUAUUCAAGAAAUUACUUCCUUCGAUAAGUACAAGCACUAGAUUAAUGAACAUAUACGAGUGAUUUUCUAAUUCGAUUUGAGUUAGUAGUAUUAUCCAAAAGGACAACAAAAUCAAUUUGAAAGCUGUAAAUAAUUAGAUGGGGGCCAAAUUAUCAACUGUCUUAACUUCAUGUAUUGCUAUUACCCAAAAAAAAAAAAAAACUAUGUUUUCGGAGUCGGAGACUCAACCGAGUUUAGGAUUAAGGGUCAAUAGGUUUGAUCGAAUUUGAUCUGAAGUUGAAUCGAAUAACAUCAUAUAUAUGUCACACACACACACACACACACACACAUAUAUAUAUAUAUAUAUAUAUAUAUAUACCCAUUAUUUUUCUUGUAAAAAUAGCCAAGAUCCCAAAAUUCACCAAUCAACAAGACUAAUCAGCAAUCACUUGACGCCAACGAGUAGCAAAAAGGCCUAACCAAAAUGUUUAAAAGCAUUAGGCUUAAUUAUUGAUCCCAGAAAACAAAUUUUGCAUUAGUUGAUUGUCCUAAUAAAUCUUGACUUAACCCAAAAAAAAGGUAUAAAAAACAAGUAAAUUGGUAUGUUUUGUCAUAUAACCUAUGAGAUUAGAAAUAGGGAUAAUUUCAGAUACCUCCCCUGAGGUUUCUAACAGUUUCACUCCCCUCCCCUGUGGUUUCUGAAAUUCCACAAACCUCCCCUAAAACUAGAGGUGUCAAAAUGGGUGACUUGGGCGGGUUUGGGUUGGGUAAAAUGGGUAAUGGGUAUAAGUGAGUCAACUCAUUUAUACCCAUUUAAUUAGAUGGGUAUAAAUGGGUAAGUCAAAAAAUGAAUUGGGUAACUCAAUUACCCAUUUAUAACUCAUUUAUUUUAACUUUUUGUAAACUCAUUUAAAUUCAUUUUUGCAAACUAAGUUAUCAAUUUAUACCACUCUUUGUACCCAUCAUUAGUUUUAAAUAUUUACUUAUAAUAUUCAAUAAACUUAAUUACCAAUUUUUUUCAUUUAUACUCUAUGUCACAAAAUUACCUAUUAUUUAAUAAUUGAAUAAUACGAAUAUAAAAAUUUGAAUUAAGUACUAUAAAAAUUAAUAUAAAAACUUAAUCCAAAAAUUUUGAACCCCUAACAUUUUUUUCAUAUAUAAAUAUAAAUUUUCAUUUUAUAAAGAUAAGAAAAUAGGCUAAAAUUUAUCAUAAAUUGGUAAUGCUAAAAAAUGAGCAAGUUAACAAACUAAGAAAAAAUAAAAUAAUAAGAUAAAAUCAAUAAAAAAAAAAAAAUAAUAAUAAUAAUGUUAACAUCAUGACAAAAUGAAAAAUUUGAAGAAAAAAAAGGUAGGGGAAAAAAAGAGACUUGGGGGGAAGAGAAUUUUAAAUGGGUUAAUUGGGUUUGAUGGGUUACCCAAUAAUACCCAUUUAUUAAAUGGGUAUUAUUGGGUAACUCAUUUAUACCCAUAUGCAAAAAUUUAAGAUACCCAUACCCAUCUAUUCAUGGACGGGUAUGGAUAAAUUUAGUUAAGUGGGUUGAUUUGCCACCUCUACCUAAAACUAAAUAGGCAAUGUCAAAAUAGACCCAAUUUAAAAAUGAAAACAAUAAAAAAUCAGUAGCUGGAGAGAGAAACAAGUGUAUACCACAAAUGCCCUCAUUAUCUUGGGUUAGAAAGCUAAUCUGAUGUGAAGAAAAAGGAGGGAAUUCAAGAAGAAUGAAACUUGAGGGGAUGUAAGUGAGACCAAUGCAUUCAUUGAGGUGUGAACGUCAGUAGUGAACAAAAUGGAAGGCAACGGCUCUUUCUGGCAGUCAGUUCAUCUUCCUUCUUUGUACGUCUCUUCUUAGGCUUGGCACUGGAUGAAUUGUGUUCAACUGAAUCCUUUCCAUUUGUUCCUUCUGAGUCAUAAUUUGAAGAUUUAGUCAUUCCAUCCACCUUAACUUCAACUUCAUCACCAAUAUGCUUAUUAGCUAUCUCAAUGUCUAAAAAUGAAAAUCUCCUGAAAUUGCAUAAAAACCUGUUGAUUGAACCAGAAAGUUGUCUUCUUUGGGAUGCAAACAAUCAAGAGCAGUAACAAGGAGUUCAGAGAGUAUUUCAGCCGAAGACGCCUUAAUAUCCUUCACUUUGCCAAGCAUAACAGAGCAAUUAGUAGAUCUAUGUGGCCCAACUUUCCACGAUUUCUUAUCACCAUUUGAUUGUCCUACUCCUCCACCCCAUAAGGAAGAAGCGCAGCAGCCACAAUCAUUCCUUCUUCAUUCAAAAUAUUAUAUGUUGAUGCAGCAUUUCUCUGCAAUAUGAGGAAAAUAAGAAACUAGAAAAACUUAUGCCAGGCCAACACAAGUGCAGAAGAGAAGCAAAAAUCGACAAAAAAUGCUUCACCAAAAUUUGCUGUCUAAGAAUAAACUACUGCCGGUUCAAGUAGAUUGAGAUACACAAAAGGCUAAGUCAUCAAGGUAUGAGCCAAAUCUCUAUGUCCACAGACAGCACUGCUAUGCAUGUUACAGAUAUUAAGACAUCAAGAAAGCACAAAACUCAUACUGGAAGGCACUGUAGAAUGCAAGCAAAACAUCCAGAUAGAAUCUUGUUAAAAGAUGUAGAUAUAAACACAUGAAAUCUAGAAGGGUGCUGGUUGUAUGAAUGAACGUUUGAAGAAAUUCAUGAGUUAUAAUGAGUUUGCAUUAAGCCUGAUUGUAUAAUCUUUAUCAAUCAUUGAUUAAAUCCAUCUGCAUUUACUAUGAAACCAGAACAAGUUUACAAACAGUAAUUUACCAUCUGUAAGAAAAUCAAAGCAGUACACUUACCGAAUCAAUUGCUUCAAGAUUCAUGCCCAUAGACCGAAUAAAUUGCCGAAGGUCAGGACUUACUGGCUGGAUAUGCCUCCCACAACCAAGAAUUAAUAUUCCUGAUAUCAUCAGCAGAUAUAGAAAUUAACAACUGAAUGAACAAAGCUUAUGGCAAAAAAGUGAUUCACUGAAACUAAUUUACUACUACUACUUCAAUAGGACCACAUCUGUCGACAGGUUCACCAAAUCUGUCAAAAGCUGCGCACAAGACACUAGUGUGUAAAUCUUGUUUCCAGUUCAGAACUAGUACAAGAGCUGAUCAAAGAUUAAAAAAAAAAAAGCUGCUCAACCCCAACAUUAAAAUAAAUUUGUGGUUUGUAACAAUGAAUGCACGCUUUGUUCAAUGUCAAUAGAAGGAAAGGGCUAUAGGCCCAAUGAAAGAUUUCAGGAAAACCAAAACUAAGCCAAAAAAAAAUGUCUGAGCCAAAAAAAAAUGUCUGAGAGGCAUUCCUUUGGCGAAAUUCUUCAAGAAAGGCCCUGAGAGACUGAACAAACUCUGGAAAAUCUAUCUCCUCAAGCGCCUUGAAAACAUCCUCGGCAUUUAUUAUCUGCCUAUUCGACUCCUUGCAUAUAUCAUUUGCAACUGCGGUGAGGUAGUGGAUGAAGAUGCGACCACUUUUAGAGAAGGCCUGCAGGGCUUCGCGGAAAACGGAGAUUCAGACUCGGCAGAGAGCUGAGAGAGCUUAUCUUUCACCAGCCGCAGGACAAUUGUCUUCGGCAGCUCCUCUAAUUCCCUAGCCGUCGAUUCCGUCACCGUCGUCACUUCACCAUUCUCCUUCGCUUUCUCUUUCUCUUUCUCUUUUUCCACCAUUCCUACAUAAACGUAUCACACACGUGCUCUCUGUUACUCUAAUUUAUUGUUAAUUACAUUAAUUGUGUUUAUAACUAACUUAACUAAAUUUUUUGAGAUAAUCACGAAAUAUUAGCAAACUUGUGAGGGUAUUUAAGUCUUUUUGACACCAAUGAUGUAAGAAAUGGGACCUACUAAUCUGACAAGGGAGGUUUGUGGAAUUUCAGAAACCACAGGGGAGGGGAGUGAAACUGUCAGAAACCUCAGGGGAGGUAUCUGAAAUUAUCCCUUAGAAAUAAAAGGUAUUCAAAAGGUGCAUCAUCUUCACAUGCAAGUCAGACGGUUUCGGAUGCCACCAAAUCACCUAAUCAUAACUUUGUACUCAAAUUAACAAGUUGCAUGUCCUUUUUAAUCAAGAAUAUAUAUAUAUAUAUAUAAAGCAAAAUCAGGACUGUUUAUGAUUUUCCCAACAAAUUACAGCAAUGGAGAAGUGGCAGCAAAGACGAUGAAAUUGGGGUGGCGGUGGACGAACCUGUUGGUAGCGGCACUGGUUGUUUGGUGGAGGAGCUAGGGUGGGUUACGAACGACAGCAGAUAUUCGCGUUUGGGAAACUUCUGGUUGGAGUAGAUACUUUUUUGUUUGGAUUGUAUUUUUUUAAAAUUUUUUAUAAUAAAAUUAUUAUAACGAUUUGAUAUAUGUAAAGUAAAAAAGUGGUUGAAGAUUUUGAGUGUAGCAAUUUUUUUAAAAAAUUUUCAAUCCAAUCAAAGCCGCGCUACAUAUAAAAAGUAGUUGUUUCGCAUGUGUUCUUUUUGCUUGAUCAAUGAAGAAAAUAUAGGAAAUAAUAAAAGAUUAAACUCUUAUGUCUCAGACAUUUUAUUUUGGAUGAGAAAUGAAAUUCUCAUCAAUGCUAUUCAACACUAGAUGUACAGCUUUUCCAGCGCACAUGUAAAUUUAGUUUACAAUGAAUGAAAUUAUCCUUUUGACAAAAAUAAAUAAAUAAAUACAUAAAUCAAAGCCGCUCUACUUUUUUUUGUCAAAUCAUAAAUCUAAUCCCAGAACGGUUCUCAAAAGUCGGCAACUCUUGAGUGUGUCCCAAGGACUUAUAACCUAACCCAAACCCAACCCCAACCCCGAUGUGGGAUAAUCAACCUCCACAAAGGAGCCUGCCCUUCGGCGCGAAUCUUUUCGCCCGUAACUAUUCGGACCCUCACUCCCCGUGAUAAGCUGACUGUCUUCUCUCAACAUUAUUGUUGUUUUUUUGUCAAAUCAUAAAUCUAAUUCCAGAACAGUCCUCAAAAGCCGGCAACUCUUGAGGGUGUUCCAAGGACUUAAUCAAAGCCGCUCUACUUGUUUGAGUUGUUUCCUUGUUUCGUUGGUCAAGGUCCGGUCUGAUUAAAAAGUCAACUGGUGGACCCGGGAACUUUUGACCGCCUACUUAGUUAGACCCAGACCCCUUUCGAAAGGGAACGUCUUUUCAACAUUAAUACGUCCAAAAUACAUAGCAUAGCACUACAUAGACUCCGCACCAGCCACAAAAAUCUGAUCCCCCUAUAUAUUGAAGUUGAUAUUUGACCCAAAAAAAAAAAAAAAAAAAAACACCAUGGUUCCCCUUUCCGCUGUUCCACUUGAAUUCGCACGCUAACAUCCCACCAUCACAUGCGUGCAACAAAGACGAAGAAUUAUCAGUCCUCAAGUCAACAUACCUAAUAGGACCAUCCAAAUCGGAGACAUGAGUGAGUGCAACACUUGUUCCCAUGAUGACGCUGCUCUCAAACACUCACUGCAACAUUGCACCGAGUUAUCGACAGAACUCAGUUGGGAAAACAUCGCGACUUCACGUUUUCGAGGAUUCAGAGGAAAGCCUCAAAACCUUAAACUCAGAUUCUACUAUUUCGGAUUAAAAACUCUCUGUCAACUCCCCUCAUAGACUGAACAAUAGCAUAUACUAUCAUAUGUUAUACUCAUAAUAUAUUUGUUGACAUUUAAAUAACAAUAAAUCCUUCCAGUAACAAAUUAAACGCACAAAAUCUAUCCAUCCAUAGGGUUCAUUAGUUUAUUAUUGCAGUGAGACUGGUGCAAGAAAAUGCGGCUAAUUCCCAGCUUACUCCAGCUUCCUCCAGGAUCCUACCAAUUUGGCCAAUGCCACAGUGGAUGAGCCCCCAUCAGCCACUGCUUGCUUUGCUUCCUCCUUCUUUGCCUGGGCUCUUUCCCUGAUCACCUUUCCUUCCUCCGAAUCCAUCAACCCCCUAACUCGCUUCUCUAUUUCAGCCGCUUUCACGAACCCACCUUCCGUACUUUCAUCCAUUGGUAAGGCCAACUUCAUCUCCUCAACUAAGAACAGCCUAUUCAGCUUCUGCUCAGCAUAAAGUGGCCACCCCACCAUAGGCACACCCGCACAGACUGCUUCCAACACUGAGUUCCACCCGCAGUGGGUCACAAACCCACCCACCGACCCAUGAUUCAACACAUCCACCUGCGGUGCCCAAGAACUCGCCACGAAACCCCUACCCUUUGUCCGGUCCAAAAACCCGUGGGGCAGCAACAAAUCCAGAUCUGGGGCGGGUGGAGUUUGAAAGCGGUUGGUUUUGUCCUCAGAAGGCGGACUGCGCACCACCCACAGGAACUUUUGCUCGCUCCUCUCCAACCCGAUGGCUAUCUCUUUCAGUUGCUCAGCUGGAAAUUGACCCACGCUCCCAAAGCACAAGAAUACAACGCUUCCACUUGGUUGCAUAUCCAGCCAUUUCAAACAUUCAUGCACACCUCCUCCCGUUCCACCUGCUGCACCUCCACCUUUCCCGUUGUCUGAUGCAAUCAGAGGUCCUAAGCUGAAAACAGGCGGAGUGGGGCCAUCCGGAACAUACUUUCCAUCAGCGAUUGAUUUCAAGAUGCUAGGUUCGAGCGAUUCGAACGUGUUGACUAGGAUCCCGGACGAUUUUGCCAAUUGCGUCGCAACAUCUAAGAAAAAUGCAUACUCAGGAGACGUUCUUUCCAGCAAAGGAACUGGCAUGUCUCGUGGUGGUAUUGGAAGUAAAUCAGGAAGAUGUAGAAGUUCGUCCAGGUCUUUAUAGCUUUUGUUUGUUGAUUGGUGGAGCGUGGGUAAGUAAAGGAAGAGAGCGAGACCAUUAGCGCCAGAAGUGAAGAAGUAAUAAGUCGGGAUUCCAAGGUUGGUAGCAACAGAGAGGGCACAAGUGCAAAAGAAGUCGAUGAUAAAUGCAGAAAUUCCAGCUGUCAAGGAGAUGGAGUGCAGAGCUUGGCGAACAUGAGGGUUGCUGAGUCGAAGGAGCUCGAAGUGGAGAGCUUCUAUGGAGGGGUAAGAGUCAGGGUCAAGAGGCGGAGAGGGCAGGUGGUGGAA